CCCUUAGAUGUCCUGGGCCGCACGCGCGUUACACUGAUGCAUUCAACGAGCUUAUAACCUUGGCCGAGAGGCCUGGGCAAUCUUGUUAACGUGCAUCGUGAUAGGGAUAGAUUAUUGAAAUUAUUAAUCUUGAACGAGGAAUUCCUAGUAAACGCAGAUCAUCAAUCUGCAUUGAUUACGUCCCUGCCCUUUGUACACACCGCCCGUCGCACCUACCGAUUGGAUGGUCCGGUGAAGCCUCGGGAUUGUGGCGAGUUCCCUUUAUUGGGAGUUUGUCGCGAGAACUUGUCUAAACCUUAUCAUUUAGAGGAAGGUGAAGUCGUAACA
rnacentral:rRNA from 1 species